rnacentral:lncRNA from 1 species
UUUGAAUAUAACGGAUGACGAACGUCAAACAGCAUCGACCUUCUCUUUCUCGUCGUACCGUUGAAUUAUAAAACGGAAGUUCCAAGCAGCACGAGGGCACCCUUUUCAACGUGCGUUACGAGCAAUACCAUCGUGACUACAUUGGUGACAGUAUCGACCAAUCGGAGAACGAAUCGUACUGUUCUAUACCAGACAGAAAAUUGCAAACGAAGUGGUCUGAGUCAUCUCAAUCGAUUUUAACUGACGCCAUACAUACCUGUCCCAGAAGAAAUAAUCUAAAAGUAUUUGCAUGUACAAAUAUCGACGAUUUAUCGAUGAAAAAUCUAAUUUGUGAUUUUAACUGAAUUAUAGAAAAGAAGAGAGACGGAAAUAGAAAAAAUUCAUCAAUGGAAAAAGGAUAUAUCAUAAUUAUUGGCUUGUAUGAAAAAUAAUAUCGUCAAUCGCAUUUUUCUUGUCAUAUCUGUACCCAUUGCACUAUUUCGAUUAAACUCAUUACCGAGAACGAUGAUUUCUAAAUCUUUAUAAAACUGCUGAAUAUCAUACAAAUAUUUUUGUUUAAAAUAAAAUUCUAUGUUGUAUCCGUUCGUAUAAUGCUCGCAACGUCCAUAACAAAAAAUGUUAUCCGUUUGACAUUUCUAUCGAGUUAGUAGUUACUCUAAUAGAAUUGUUGCUUUCUUAGAGUAAUUUUAUAGGAAAACAAAAAACAACAAUUUGACUAACCCAAUUACUUAACAUAACCAGCACUACUAUUACAACUAACAAUACUGUCUUCAUUUAAAACACACAAUUUCAUUUAAAUUACUAGUCGAUUUAGUAGCAUUGUUGUUUUGUUGAUGUUUCUUUUUUAAUAGAAAAACAAAAGACAUGUUUCCUACUAAAGUAAUUACUAAACAUUCGUAACUACUAACAUUGUCUCUGUAUAAAACGCAAUCCUGACAUUCAUUUCAUAUAUAUGGGGAUCUCAUCUGGGGAUAUCCAUCCUACUGAUAAACUUAAACUGAUUAAUCUACAAUUUUUCUAUUAUUUGUAUUAGAUAAUAUAUGUUUUUGGAUUCCCCAAAUUAUUUAUUAGUAUCGUAAUCACAACAAAAAUGUUUCCAUUAAGAAUCACAGGAAAAUAUUAAAAUUUAGAGAAGGUCUCAUAUCGAAUAACUGACAAGAAUAUUAUUAUAAUCAAUGAUUACUAAUCAUUGAAUGCGAACCCAACUUAGAAAGUUCUAAUUCUUAUCGAUCAACUUUCAGGGAAUUUGUUAAUAAAAUAUUCAACUCACCACCCUCGACGGUGUAUGGACUUUGUACGUGCCACGAUGCUGAUAACGUUGUUGAUAGCCAACUGGUAUCAGAUCGGUAUUUAAUCGGAGAUCUAACACACGCUCGACACCAUCCACUUCAAAGCCGACUGUUAAUAUAUCUGCAUGAUCGAUAUCCUGAAAGAAAAAAAAAUAAACAAAUGAUUAUUAUACAAUUUGUAUUAUCUCCAAUAUGAUUUGAAAGAUGCACCGCCGCGUUUAUAUCGUCCAGUUGAAGCGUUCCUCUUUCGUGACCUGCACAUCGUAUCUCAUGGAUAGGAAACGGAAUGGGGAAGGGGUAGUAAAGAGGCGGGGAGAGGUAGUCAAUACCACGGAGGGAUGGGGGAAUAGGAAGGAGUGGAGAAGGGGAUGAGGAGAGGGACAAAAUCUAUCGCGAGAGGUCAACUACAUCCUACGAUUCUAUAAAUUCUUUAUGAAGAAACAUUCCGCGAAAAACGAAAAUUCCUUUUUUUUCUUUAUCUUGUUUUCCAUCAAAAUCAAAUAAAUGUGAACGGUAAAUAAAAGAAAUUAUGACAAACACGUGAUAUUUAUUGUAUUUGUUAGCACAUCGAUUGGCAAACUCAUUUUGUAAAAAUCAAUAUACCCGUAUUGUACUUUUAUUAAUUUUUUUUGUCGGUGUA